rnacentral:rRNA from 1 species
GACGAACGCUGGCGGCGUGCUUAACACAUGCAAGUCGAACGGAAAGGCCCUGCUUUUGUGGGGUGCUCGAGUGGCGAACGGGUGAGUAACACGUGAGUAACCUGCCCUUGACUUUGGGAUAACUUCAGGAAACUGGGGCUAAUACCGGAUAGGAGUUCCUGCUGCAUGGUGGGGGUUGGAAAGUUUCGGCGGCUGGGGAUGGACUCGCGGCUUAUCAGCUUGUUGGUGGGGUAGUGGCUUACCAAGGCUUUGACGGGUAGCCGGCCUGAGAGGGUGACCGGCCACAUUGGGACUGAGAUACGGCCCAGACUCCUACGGGAGGCAGCAGUGGGGAAUAUUGCACAAUGGGCGGAAGCCUGAUGCAGCAACGCCGCGUGCGGGAUGACGGCCUUCGGGUUGUAAACCGCUUUCGCCUGUGACGAAGCGUGAGUGACGGUAAUGGGUAAAGAAGCACCGGCUAACUACGUG